CAAUCCAUUUGGCCACAAAAAGGCCAUUUUUGGAGCUGUAGUCAAAAACUUGUCACACGUCAUUACAUUUCUAAAGACUUCAGCAAUGAAGAAAGGGUGAUUGUGUGCCUGAAGGUGAAGCUGAAUGCUAUCUUUAGUGAAGUCUAGAGAUAAAGGGUGCCAUGAGAACAGAAUCUAUUUAGGAUGAAUUGGACAGAAUAAUGGCAUUGAAAUUCCCACUUCACCUAUAGGAGGGAGAUAAAGGUAAAACAUUCUAGUUAAUGGAACAUGAGCCACUAAUUUGCAGAGAAAGACAAAGGCAGGGGAGUGUACUGUUCUUGCAUGAAAUGAAUAAUUUUUUUCAGUCUUUGUGUUGACAGGGAGAGACUGUAUCAAGAAAGAAAAUGAGAGGAGAGGCAACCUAAGAUCAAAACAAAUGACAAUGGAAAGUCAAACAAUGAAAACAAUGACUCUCAUCACUUCCGUAGGGAGGAUUGUGAAAACCAGGGAAUGCUAUGAGUGUUUGAAAAAAUCAAUUAUUUAUUAAGGAUUAUGAAGUGUUUGCCCUAUCAGCUAUUUAAGAAAACCUGCGAGCCCUAAUAUCUACAGAGGCAAACUGCUUUGCUCAAAUUUUUCUGCUGGUGUUGUUCUAGGGAAACACGUCAUGAUGAAUUGCAGACAGACAUUCCCAGCCAGUUCUCAUCCUGAAAGGUCCUCUUACCCUCCAGGGAGCUAGAAAUAGAAGAUGAGAUGGUUUAGACAUAUUCAAAAGGCAGCGUUAUCCAUUGACUUGUGCACGUGUUUAUUUGAGAUUUAUAGUCCUCAUUACAUUUGUACAGAUUGGCAGCAGGACUUCUUCAGGGUAGGCUAAUGUUUUCGGUUGUCAUAUUUGGCACAAAUUGGGUCUUUAGUACUGAUUAGGGUCUAACUCGCAAUUUGAAAAUAAUCCUGCCACCCAUUAGUGGCUCUGUAGAAACUUCCACAGCCUCCCUGGCUGCUUCCUGUUAGUAUCUGCAAGCGAAAAUCAUAUUUUCUGGCAGUCAGAAUUUCCACUUCACAUUUCCUAAUAUCGUUUUUCAUUAGACUUCUGUCAAAGAACCCUGACACAGCCUGAGGCCCAGGAACAGAAGGAGCAUACCAAUAGGACUUCUACCAUUCCUGUCAUUUGUCCCUACAUGCACUCUGUUCAAAAAGCUGCCCUCAAAUGCAUUUGUGAGGCUGCAACAACAAACCUUUUCUCCGAAUCCUUCAGCACAGAAGCUGAGGUAGUGCCAAUAAGAAAAGGGCCAAAGUCCAAUUACUCCCCCGAUGGCUGAGCAUCCUGCACAGAUCCGUACAAUGUUCCCUCUCCCUCUCGGUGCAGACCAGGCCCUAAUUUUGAGCCUCUUGCUACUUGCCACUUCUAGAUGCUGAGAUUAUGUCACUCACUAAACAUAGGAGAUAGGCAGCAUAUAUCACUCACCUGGGCAAUGUUCCAUAGAGAACCAGUAGAUGCGAUUUCUUUGGUUGCUUUCUUUUGUGUGGCACUGAGGAGCUGCCGGCUGUGUUGUAGCCGAGGACCCCCUGGGUCUGGGCACUCAGAAGGGCAUUAAGGACUGUUCAGGAGCAUCAGCAGGAGGCCUGCUGAACAUACCUGAUUAUCGAGGGCUACACACUGAACCCCAGUUUCACAAAAACCAAAAAGAAUGACAAAUGGUCGACCUGUAUUCUUAAGUCACCAUGCUGCCUUGAUUGAGUAUCAACGACCAUGAACCUAUAUAGAGGUAAUCUGAUUCAAACCCUCCUUACCGUGCCAUUUCUUUUGGAAGAAUGGCAGGUCUGGAGAUGGAAAGAUUAAGCGUGAGAUUAUUUCCCUUCCUGUCUGUCUCCAUUUGCCAUUCAAAUAUGUAAAUAUCUGUAAUGAAAGAUUACGGUGGGUAAGAACAGUGCCCGAUGAACCCCCAGGAAAUAAAGAACAGGGAGCCACUUGUUUUUCAUACAAGUAUUUGCUUCAUUUACUCAAACAUUUGUGUGCCUACUAGAUGCUUGGGAUUAUUCUAGGUAUGGGGAACAAAAGCCGUCGUUGUCAUGGAGUUGACCUUGUAGAAUGGAAAAGGCAGAGAGUAAUGGGACAGCGAAAUGUCUAGUGUGUUCGAUGCUGCUGAGUGCUAAGAAGAAUGGUGAAAUGGAAUGUAUAAAAGUUCCAAAGGAGACUGAAAAAUGUUAUGGUGGCCAUUGGAUACCCAAGGAGAUGAACUCCAGCAAAGACCUAGUGAAGGAAAGUGGGCACUUAGUGAGGCAUACACCAGUGGGAGCAGCAGGGGAAGGCUCCCAGCAUAGCAUCUGAACUGGAAUGCAUGUGGGGUGGAGGAUGCCAGUGAGAUGAGCUGCAUGGGCUGGGGAGAGGAAGCUGGAUGAGGUUAAAAACAGAGCACAGAAAUAGGAACAUUUUGAUUUUACUCUCAGAUAUAUGGGGACCCACUGAAGUGUUUUGAGCCAAAUAGAGGCAUGAUCUCACAAGAUUUAAUGGUCGUCUUGGGUUUCUGUUUUGAAACUUGAUUUGGACAUUCAAAGUAAGCCAAGAGAAUUCAGUGAGAGGAACUUGCGGUACGCCAGCCACGGGCACUAAGAUCAACAGUUAAUAAAUGGGACCUCAUCAAACUGAGAGGCUUCUACACAGCAAAGGACACCACCAUUUAGAUAAAGGACACUGGCAUUUGGACAAGACAGCAGCCUUCAGAAUGGAAUGGAAAAAGUUUUUUUUUGUUUUUAUCAACUAUACAUUUGAUAAAUGGCUAAUAUCUAAAAUGCAUAAAGAACCUAAAAAAACCAACUUGAAUGUUGAGAAAACAAAUAACCCAAUUAAAAUGGGGUACAGGA